AAAAGCAAUAACAUGGAAUGACUGUAAUGUUAUUGAGACAUAUGACUUCAAGAGCCCCUACCCAUCGGUUAGGUUGGAGCCGUAACUAUUGCAUUUUACAGGUUCCUGCUAGAAAAUGCGCCUCUACAGUGCAUGGAUGCAGAGUUCUUAAGAGAACUUACUCAUUUAGUCUGCUGUGAAUCUUAUUUCUCGUACAAAGGGAAAUUCUUUAAACAAUUACGAAGAGUCGUGAUCAGAAGCCCAAUGGCAGGUACCCUAACAGAAAUACUACUAAGGCAGACAGAGAGGAUGACCUUAGAAACCUUUAAGCAUUCAUUAGCCUGUAUAUACGAUAUGUGGACGAUAUUUUAGUUAUAUGGGAUGAAGAGAGCAGAACCCAAGACAUAGAAGAGGCGUUCACAUUACCAGCCUACAGUUUAACCCUUACCAAGACCCAACAGGAUACAUCCAAAAUAGGCUAGCUGGACAUUGAAAUUAACAUUGACAACGGCGUUUUAAUGACAGCAGUUUACAGAAAAUCCCAAUAUCAACCCGUUGUCGUUCCUGAU
rnacentral:lncRNA from 1 species